GCGCUUGCCUCAGCAGCACAUACACUACAAUAGAAAUAAUACAGAGAUUAGCGUGGCCCCCGUGGGAGGAUGACACGCCAAUACAUGAAGCAUUCCAUAUCUUU
ensembl:snRNA U6 U6 spliceosomal RNA